AGGCAAAUGGGGUGUCACCAGGGAGAUGCUGCAAGAUGGGGAGGGGGAGGGGGAGAUGGAAAAAUAAGGUUGACGUGAAGAGGAGUAGACAGGAGCUUAGGGACAUGGCACAACAACAAAAUACCUCAGUCUGUGGCAUGGUUCCAUUUCUCUCUUAUAAAUCUUGCAGUGCAGACACAAUUCUCAGUAGCAUCAUCUUGCCUCUAGAGAACAGGAGCACCUGCACCAUCUGUCAGCCUGGUCCUGUCUGAGGCAGGAGGUCCCUGUGCUGUUUGCUGGUACCUCGGCUGUACAUUCAUCUCAAACCACUGCACAAUCAGUGCUUGUCCCCUGCUGCUUUUGACAGAACUGGAAAGGUUUGAUUCACUUCUCUGCUCAGGAUCCCUCAAAGGUUGGAUUUGAAAAUGAGAGGAGAACUGGCAUGGGUGGAAUUACUGCUGCUGAAUUAAAGUUUAUCUCUUUAGCCCUCUCACUUACAAAACACCGUCAGUGCCAUAAGGCAGCAUUGCUUUGGCUCUUUGCCCCAGGCUGUGCUGCUGCCUCAGACUUGCAGGGUGAGGGCUGUGAGGUGAUGCCAAGGGCUGCCUUCCACCCUUCUCCACACUGUGAGUGCCUGCAGGCCUUUCUGCAGGGUAGGAGCCACCAGGAUUAUUCAUGCUUCCUCCUGUCCUUGGUAGCAAAGGAUUACCUGCAAUGAAAGUGGGAUUCUUCCCACUGCAAGCAAUGUGGCUCCUGAGUAGUGCUUUGCUGUUUAACCAGAGAGAUGGAUUUUGCAAAUAAGCUGGAGGAGGAAGUAGUGGCACAUUAUGCUUAUGUUUUUGUGAUUUGUUUUUUGUUGUUUUCCUUUAACAAAACCAAGCUUCUUUUUAUAUGUCAGUCAUUUUUAUUGUACUGUCAUUUUGUUUGUUGUCACAUCUGUCUCAUUUUGCUGCUUAUUAGACACACAUUAGAUAUUCAAAAUCAAUCACUGGCAUUCUUGAGAUUUCAUAGCAACAAAUUGUACUACAGAGAGAGAAAGAGGGAGGAGCAAUGUUGUGCAGGAAUAAUGUCAGUAAUGCCAGGUAUUUCUGUGAGACGGCAACUAUUUUCUUUGUAGUUGUCAUUCUCUCGCAAACAAGGAAGGUGUGCUCAGACUUCAUCUCCAACAGCACUUGUUAGGGUGUCACUGUAACCAGAUACACAAACAUCAAGGCCCAGCCUUCAAGACCCUGUGGAGGUCCCCUAGGCCUCCUCCCUCUGCAAGAGAAGCCGGUGCCUGAAGCUCUGGACCUUCCUACUUGUCAUCCAAAGCGGGAUUUCCAGCCUUGUGAGGAGGGUGGGCAGCUCGUGUCCAGCACAGAGACCAUGUGGGCAGCUGCCAGUGAAAGUGAUCCCUGAAUUGCCUGCAGCUCCUGUCCUGCAGAACCAGCAGCCUCCAGGCUUCCCACACUCAUGUGCCAAUAGAUGCUUUCUUCAGAAGAAAAGAAUUUGGAGAAUGUUGAGGAAGAGGGGAAAAGUGCAGGAGAAACGGAGAGCUGGAUCCUCAUCUAACAGAGGACCUGCAUCUGCUUCUCUGUUGGAUGUAGCGGGUAGUACAAGAAAACCCCCAUAACGCUUUGUCUGUAGUGAAGCAAUGCACCAAAAGACCUGUUUUAAUGCUUCAAAUUCAGCACCCCUGUGAACUCCAAUCUCACACCUGCUCCGUGCGAGAUGGGUUAUGGAGAGUGGAGACAAGCGGGUGCAUCCAGCGGAGCCACUGCUUUGCUCCUCUCCCUGCCUGCAGGACAGGCUCUGGCUGCCUGUGAGCUGGUGUGGCUGCAGACUGGGGCUGUAAAACUGUGCUGUGUGACCUGAUGAUCUCCCUGGAGUUUCCUGGUGUUUCUGUUUUAUGGUCCUUUCACACCUUCCCAGCCUUCCCAGUGCUUGCACGACUGGAAUGCAGCACCAGACUCCAGGCCAAGACAGGUGAAAUGCUUGUAAAGUAACUGGGAAAUGAAAGAUUUUGCUCCCCUCCUCACCCAUUUUGGAUUUCCAUGGGAUUGCUAGCAUGACAGGGUUAUAGUUAUAUUUGAAGGAGCACAAGAUGUGAAUCACUGUGUGUAGGCUGGUAUUUCAAAUGUGACUGACAGUUGCUUUUCAACACUUGAAUAUCAAUAUGGUGCUGAUGAAGAAGAAUGAAACCUUGCAUGCUCAGAACUUCCUUACAGAAGAGUGCCCCUUAUAUGAUACAGCUGCUGUCUGGUUUAGUGUUUUGUUUUGUUUUUCUUCUAAUCCAAAGAGACCAAAAGAAAACUACACAGACUGGAAGGUUGAAGAAUAAACUACAGAACCAACAGGAUUGUGAAGACUUUUGGCUGCUGUUUCCACUGGGCUGUAAUAGUUAACAGCUCAAAAGAAAACCUGAGGAUACAAAAUCAAAAAAGGGGUGUCUUCCAAAAGUUUGCCUUCUGGUGGCUUUGUAAGAUCCAUUAUGGAGCAGCUGGCCCUGGUUUCUCUAAGCAAAGGAUGUGAGCAGCUG